GCGAGGUGGUGCCAAUCCUAGAAAGUCUUCGUAGUCCGGAUUGGAGUCUGCAACUCGACUCCAUGAAGUCGGAAUCGCUAGUAAUCGCGAAUCAGCAUGUCGCGGUGAAUACGUUCUCGGGUCUUGUACACACCGCCCGUCAUACCAUGGAAGUGGAUUGCACCAGAAGUAGAUAGUCUAACCUUAGGGAGGGCGUUUACCACGGUGUGCUUCAUGACUGGGGUAAAGUCGUAACAAGGUAGCCGUAGGGGAACCUGUGGCUGGAUCACCUCCUU
rnacentral:rRNA from 1 species